GACGAACGCUGGCGGCGUGCCUAAUACAUGCAAGUCGAACGCAUUUUCUUUCACCGUAGCUUGCUACACCGAAAGAAAAUGAGUGGCGAACGGGUGAGUAACACGUGGGUAACCUGCCCAUCAGCGGGGGAUAACACUUGGAAACAGGUGCUAAUACCGCAUAAUUCCAUUUACCGCAUGGUAGAUGGAUGAAAGGCGCUUUUGCGUCACUGAUGGAUGGACCCGCGGUGCAUUAGCUAGUUGGUGGGGUAACGGCCUACCAAGGCUGCGAUGCAUAGCCGACCUGAGAGGGUGAUCGGCCACACUGGGACUGAGACACGGCCCAGACCCCUACGGGAGGCAGCAGUAGGGAAUCUUCGGCAAUGGACGCAAGUCUGACCGAGCAACGCCGCGUGAGUGAAGAAGGUUUUCGGAUCGUAAAACUCUGUUGUUAGAGAAGAACAAGGGUGAGAGUGGAAAGUUCAUCCCUUGACGGUAUCUAACCAGAAAGCCACGGCUAACUACG
rnacentral:rRNA from 1 species